rnacentral:lncRNA from 1 species
UAUUUUACCAUAUUAUUUAAAAAAUAUUUGCUGUUAUUCUCACUACAAUAAAAACGGUCUAUAGCGACACUUUUAAAUAUCGGCAUAGGUCAAAAAAGUGCUGCUGGCUAAAUUUACCGACACUUUUGAAAAGUGUUGCUAUAUGUAGGGUCGCUAGAUAUAUAGUGACAGUUAAAGAGUGUUGCUAUAAUCUAAAAGAGUGCUGCUAAUUUACCAACAUUUAUUUAAACAUCUAGCAACCGCUGGAACUCUACCUCGUUGGCUACGGUGGCAGAGCAGGACGAGAGAAAAUGAUCUUCAUUUAGGAUUUCAGUCGAUUGAGUGACGGGAGAAGGGAAAAUGAUAAUCGAUUUUUCUUUUCUUUUUCUUUUCUUUUUCUUUUCUGUUUGUAAUCGGGCCGAAUGGGCUAAGUGGAGUGGGUUGAGUAGAGUACCCUUUUAUUUUUAGUUGGAUUGGACAUUAUAUUUAGGCAUUAAUAGGAUUUUUUUUAAGUUUUGGCAUAAAUGUGACACUUAUACAAAAGUGUCCCAAACAUGUGUCGCUAUAACCUAAAUCUGUUGUAGUGUCUGGGGUUAUCCACUGCACCAGAAACUUGUUCCCCAUUGCUUAAUU